GAUUUCUGGCGAACCGAUGCGGCCCGUGUUCGUUUCGGGCGUGUGUGCCGUGUCGCGUUUGUCAUCCUUUCAGAAAGCUGCGUCUACCAUUCACUUGGCCGGACGUAUGCGAUCUGGAUCGAUUACUUUGAAAAAAUUAGAGUGUUUAAAGCAGGCUUAUGCUGUGAAUACAUUAGCAUGGAAUAAUAAUUUAGGACUUCGGUUCUAUUUUGUUGGUUUCUAGGACUGAAGUAAUGAUUGAUAGGGACAGUUGGGGGUGCUAGUAUUCCGCGGCCAGAGGUGAAAUUCUCGGAUUCGCUGAAGACUAACUUAUGCGAAAGCAUU
rnacentral:rRNA from 1 species